UACGUAGGGUGCAAGCGUUAAUCGGAAUUACUGGGCGUAAAGCGUGCGCAGGCGGUUGUGCAAGACAGAUGUGAAAUCCCCGGGCUUAACCUGGGAACGGCAUUGGUGACUGCACGGCUAGAGUGUGUCAGAGGGGGGUAGAAUUCCACGUGUAGCAGUGAAAUUCGUAGAUAUUGGGAAGAACACCGAUGGCGAAGGCAGCCAUCUGGACCGACACUGACGCUGAGGCGCGAAAGCGUGGGGAGCAAACAGG
rnacentral:rRNA from 1 species